rnacentral:misc_RNA from 1 species
GGGAAAGGGAGGAGGAGAGGGGUUCGAAUGUGGAAGGGUCUACUUCUUCUGGGAGUGGGAAUAAUAGGGAUUCUUCAUAUCAAAGGUAUGAUAUACAACAGAUUGCAAGGUGGAUUGAACAGUUUCUUCCAUUUUCUUUGCUACUUUUGGUUGUUUUCAUCCGCCAACACUUGCAAGGUUUCUUUGUCAUAAUUUGGAUUACGGCCUUCAUGUUCAGGUCAAAUGACAUUCUUCGAAAGCAGACAGCUUUAAAGGGGGAGAGAAAGAUCACUGUCCUUCUUGGUUAUUUUCUGGUGUUUAUGCUUCAUAUUAGUGGAAUCUACUGGUGGAAUCACAAAGAUGAUAUAUUUUAUCCGUUACUUAUGGUUCCUCCUAAGGG